AACGAACGCUGGUGGCGUGUUUUAUACAUGCAAGUCGAGCGAGGACAGUAGCUUGCUACUGAGCCGAGCGGCGAACGGGUGAGUAACGCGUAAGCAAUCUGCCCCACAAUCGGGAACAACCGUGCCAACGCGCGGCUAAUGCCGGAUAUUGUGUCCUACUGCAUAGUAGGUUAACGAAAGAUUUAUCGUUGUGGGAUGAGCUUGCGUCCGAUUAGCUAGUUGGCGGGGUAAUAGCCCACCAAGGCGACGAUCCGUAGCUGGUCUGAGAGGAUGAUCAGCCACACUGGAACUGAGACACGGUCCAGACUCCUACGGGAGGCAGCAGUGGGGAAUAUUGCACAAUGGGCGAAAGCCUGAUGCAGCGACGCCACGUGAAGGAUGAAGGUCUUCGGAUUGUAAACUUCUAUCAGCAGGGAAGAAAGGGCUUAUAGCCUAUGACGGUACCUGACUAAGAAGCCCCGGCUAACUACGUGCCAGC
rnacentral:rRNA from 1 species